rnacentral:rRNA from 1 species
CCUACGGGAGGCAGCAGUGGGGAAUCUUCCGCAAUGGGCGAAAGCCUGACGGAGCAACGCCGCGUGAUCGAAUGAAGGCCUUCGGGUUGUAAAGAUCUGUUGACAGGGACGAAUAAGCAAUGCGAAUAGUUUUGUGUAUGACGGUACCUGUUUAGAAAGCUCCGGCUAACUACGUGCCAGCAGCCGCGGCAAUACGUAGGGAGUACGCGUUGUCCGGUAUUACGGGGCGUAAAGGGCGCGUAGGUGGGUGCUUAAGUCAGGUGUGAAAACUUCGGGCUAAACCUGGAGACUGCACUUGAAACUGGGUGUCUUGAGGGCAGGAGAGGAAAGUGGAAUUCCUAGUGUAGCGGUGAAAUGCGUAGAUAUUAGGAGGAACACCAGUGGCGAAGGCGACUUACUGGACUGUACCUGACGCUGAGGCGCGAAAGCGUGGGUAGCGAACGGGAUUAGAUACCCCAGUAGUC